rnacentral:lncRNA from 1 species
UGAGGUGUGAAGAUCGCUUGUGGUUCUUUCGGAUUUUUAUGAAAGCUGGGUUAGUAUUGGUUACGAAUUGUGUAUUAAUCGAGAUAUACAUUUAUUGUUAUUAACGUGACCGUCACUUCGUCGCGCAUCAGGUCAAUCAUCCUCUGGAAACUCAAUGAUAUAUCAUAGAUUUUACAUAUUUUUAGUCAUGAUAUAUAAGUGUUUUUAAAUAUAUAUUAGUUAUUUUGGAGUCUGUUUAGUAGAUUUUUAGGUUUUGGAGUGAUUUGGUGAAAAAUAGUGAUUUUGGUGUAUUU